rnacentral:lncRNA from 9 species
GAUCUUUCCCUUGGUCCUGAAUUCGUUGGCAUUCCAGAUAACUUGUUUCCUCUCCCCCUUAUCGUGUGUUGGAAUAUUUUCUGGACACAGAUUAGGCACCAGUGACAAUAAUUCUGGACAUCUUUCGUUUUAAUGACAGGUCACCGCCCCCACUGCCAACACCCUGGGACCCUGGAUCAGAAACCAUCCUAUAGAGAAACAUGGUAUUCCUAGCCUCACCCCGGAGCCUAAGGACACGUCAUCAGAAGUGGUAGGUUUGCAUCUACAGAGAUAUUUAGAGGAGAAGCAUCUCUUAAAACCUCUCUGCAAAAGUCCAGAAGUGGGGUGAAAUAGCUUGCAGAAAACCACACCGCGAUUGAAGUGGUAGAAUUCAGAUUCAAAUCCAGAUCAAGUGCAAAGACGAAGUUGGUGGGCCUUGAAUCACACCAGGCUUCCUAAGGUUACUGGAUCUCUAAAGACUGUGGUUCUUGCUUGGUUUUUUGGAGCAAAGAGAGACAGCAAUGACGGAGCCUGUGAGAUAAGCACUGUGGACUCCUGCUACAGUUUCUGCCACCUCUGGGGGAGUAGCUCCGGAAGUAGUCGCUGUGACUUGCCCGCCAGCCAGGUGCUCGUCCUACCGCCAGGGCACAGGCAGGCUCAGGCUUCCGGCCCUUCCCGAAGAGGGGCAAGGUAAGUUAUUUAUGAAAAUAAGGGAAGAGGAAUAAAAUAUUCCAAUGAUAAAGAACGAAGAUUUAUAAUAAUUAAAAAAACAACAACCCUUGAAGCGGCCCCCCCCCCGUCUCUUAGUCUAAGAAGCAAACUGGCCGCUGGCUAGCACCGGUCCGGAGGGCGUCCAGGGGCCACGAGGGCCGGGCCUGCGGUGGUAGCUGCGGGGACCGGAGGAUGCGGUCGGGCGGCGCGCUGGGAUUGGCGGAGAGAAUGGCAACAAAUGGGCGGGGCGACCGCCUCGGCGGCGGCAGGCACCGCCCACCGCGGGGGAAUCCCAGGUUGGGGCGCG